UUCCGGUUGAUCCUGCCGGAGGUCACCGCUAUUGGGAUUCGACUAAGCCAUGCGAGUCGAGAGGGUUUAGACCCUCGGCCGACUGCUCAGUAACACGUGGAUAAUCUACCCUUAGGUGGAGGAUAACCUCGGGAAACUGAGGAUAAUACUCCAUAGAUCUAAGAGGCUGGAAUGCACUUAGGUCGAAAGCUCUGGUGCCUAAGGAUGAGUCUGCGGACUAUCAGGUUGUAGCUAGGGUAACGUCCUAGCUAGCCUACAACGGAUACGGGUUGUGAGAGCAAUAACCCGGAGACGGACUCUGAGACACGAGUCCGGGCCCUACGGGGCGCAGCAGGCGCGAAACCUUCACAAUGUGCGAAAGCGCGAUGAGGGGAUCCCAAGUGCCAGCUCAAAUUGGGUUGGCUGUUUCUCUGUCUAAAACGCAGAGAGUAGUAAGGGCUGGGUAAGACGGGUGCCAGCCGCCGCGGUAAUACCUGCAGCCCGAGUGGUGACCACUAUUAUUGAGCCUAAAACGUCCGUAGCCGGCUUGGUAAAUGCCUGGGUAAAUCGUAUAGCCUAACUAUACGAAUUCCGGGCAGACUGCUAAGCUUGAGACCGGGAGAGGUUAGAGGUACUCCUGGGGUAGGGGUGAAAUCCUGUAAUCCUGGGGGGACCACCAGUGGCGAAAGCGUCUAACCAUAACGGGUCUGACGGUGAGGGACGAAGCCCUGGGGAGCAAACCGGAUUAGAUACCCGGGUAGUCCAGGGUGUAAACGUUGCUUGCUUGAUGUUAGUUGGGCUACGAGCCCAGCUAGUGUCGGAGAGAAGUUGUUAAGCAAGCUGCUUGGGAAUUACGGCCGCAAGGCUGAAACUUAAAGGAAUUGGCGGGGGAGCACAGCAACGGGUGGAGCGUGCGGUUUAAUUGGAUUCAACGCCGGG
rnacentral:rRNA from 1 species